rnacentral:rRNA from 1 species
GUUGAACGCUGGCGGCAGGCUUAACACAUGCAAGUCGAGCGGAGCGAGGGUGCUUGCACCUUAGCUUAGCGGCGGACGGGUGAGUAAUGCUUAGGAAUCUGCCUAUUAGUGGGGGACAACAUUCCGAAAGGAAUGCUAAUACCGCAUACGCCCUACGGGGGAAAGCAGGGGAUCUUCGGACCUCGCGCUAAUAGAUGAGCCUAAGUCGGAUUAGCUAGUUGGUGGGGUAAAGGCCUACCAAGGCGACGAUCUGUAGCGGGUCUGAGAGGAUGAUCCGCCACACUGGGACUGAGACACGGCCCAGACUCCUACGGGAGGCAGCAGUGGGGAAUAUUGGACAAUGGGCGGAAGCCUGAUCCAGCCAUGCCGCGUGUGUGAAGAAGGCCUUUUGGUUGUAAAGCACUUUAAGCGAGGAGGAGGCUACUUAGAUUAAUACUCUGGGAUAGUGGACGUUACUCGCAGAAUAAGCACCGGCUAACUCUGUGCCAGCAGCCGCCGUAAUAC